AAUCUCAAGGAAGCUCUUUGGGAGCCAGGAUUCCCAGCACUUAGCUGGUGGGCAAAGGGGCUCAACCCCUUCCCCACAUCCCACCUUCCCUCCUCCCAGUCUUCGGGAUUGCGGAGCUCCUGCCGGGAUCCAAGAGCAGGCUCUUGGAGGUCGAAGAAGGAUAUAACCUCCAGACCUGGAAUUUAAGACGCAAGAACCAGCCAGCAAAAGUGGCAGCCGAGCAUGCGAGGGACUGCUGAUGGCUUUUUAUUUGGAAGCUAUGCAACUUGAGGUUCUACUGAAAAGGAGAAGAGGCCGCUGGAGAUGGGAAGCCACGAAAACCCUCUCACUGGCAUGGAGCACAGCAAGCAGGCUAGGCUGGCUGGCUAGUGAGCUCCAUCCCAUCUAUCUUUGCCUUCUCAGCACCGGGAUUGCAUACACACCCAGAAUUCUUGGCAUGUUUCUUCAUCCUCUCCAUUUCAAGUUUUAUUUUUAUAAAAGGAAGAUAACAGUAAGAUAUCUAAUUUCAUUAAUGUUUAAUCAAGGAAGUUGUAAAGGUUUAAAUAUAUGUUCUAUUUUGAUUUAUCUCCUAGUGUGUUUCAAGUAGAACUUUCCAAGAUUUGAGGGUCAACUGUCAGCUUCACGUGUUUUAAAUUGACAUGUAUUUGUCCAGAUUUACAGAGUUCAGCAUAGCAAGUUAACGCAUGAUAUGUAAUAAAUGAUGAUCCAAUUGGGGUAUUUAGCAUUUCCAUUUCUUCAUUUAUCACUCUAUGUUCUGGGAAGCAUCAACGUCUUUUAGUUAUUUUGAAGCAUCUCAUGAAUGUUAUAGGCAACAAUUAGGUCAUUUCAGCAUGAACCAUAGGGGGGGAAAUCCUCCUGUUUAUUGACUAUAGAUAUAUUUCUGUGGAUUGAUGCCUAUUACAUAACCUCUUUGCAGCUACACAUCCCUGUCCUUAAUGACCUGUAGUCUACUCUAUCUUAUGAAGUCAAUUGUAUUAAACCUCCAUGGUAAUUG
ensembl:antisense